rnacentral:rRNA from 1 species
AUGCUCGUGGAGCGGCCGAUAUCUGAUUAGCUAGUUGGUGGGGUAAAGGCCUACCAAGGCAUCGAUCAGUAGCUGGUCUGAGAGGACGACCAGCCACACUGGGACUGAGACACGGCCCAG